GACGAACGCUGGCGGCGUGCUUAACACAUGCCAGUCGAACGGGCCUUGUCCCCUUUUUUUUGGGGGUGGGGUUAGUGGCGAACGGGUGAGUAACACGUGAGUAACCUGCCCCUCACUUCUGGAUAACCGCUUGAAAGGGUGGCUAAUACGGGGUGUUCUGGCCUGCUCGCAUGGGUGGGUUUGGAAAGAUUCGACCGGUUUUGGUUGUUUUGGUGGGGGAUGGGCUCGCGGCCUAUCAGCUUGUUGGUGGGGUGAUGGCCUGCCAAGGCUUUGACGGGUAGCCGGCCUGAGAGGGUGGGCGGUCACACUGGGACUGAGACACGGCCCAGACUCCUACGGGAGGCAGCAGUGGGGAAUAUUGCACAAUGGGCGCAAGCCUGAUGCAGCGACGCCGCGUGAGGGAUGGAGGCCUUCGGGUUGGGAACCUCUUUCGCCAGUGAAGAAGGUCCUGCUCUUUGUGGUGGGGUUGACGGUAGCUGGGUUAAUGAAGCGCCGGCUAACUACGUG
rnacentral:rRNA from 1 species